GUCGCAGACACUCAUGGUGUAAGCAGAAGCACAGUUUGCAGAGUAAUUGGCCAAGUUGUCAAUAGUAUAAAUGCAAAUAUUGACAAUAUAAGAUUUCCCACGCAGCCUCAGAGCUUGCUCCAGACGAAACGCGAAUUUUACAGAAAGUGCUCGCUGCCGAAUAUUGUGGGUGCUAUUGAUGGCACUUUGGUACCAAUAGUGGCACCAACAGAGAGUGAAGAGGUGUACGUGUGCAGGAAAGGGUUUCAUGCCCUUAAUUGUCAGGCGGUCUCCUCACCAGACCUGAAAUUCCUGGAUGUUGUUGCUCGGUGGCCGGGUUCCACCCAUGAUUCUGCAAUAUUUGAAAAUUCCCGGUUGAAGGACUACCUUGAUAACCAUAAUGGGAUGAUACUUCUUGGGAACAGUGGGUAUGCUCUCAAGAGGUAUCUGCUUACACCCAUCCCUGCCCCCCGUAAUGAGCAAGAACACCUGUAUAAUAGACGGCAUAGGCAAGGUCGAUUGUGCAUAGAGAGAACCUUUGGUCUACUCAAGUAAAGAUUCAGAUGCCUUCACAAGACUGGUGGUGUGUUACCAUUCAAGCCACAAAAAUGUGCAAGCGUAUUCAUGGCAUGUUGUCGCUUGCACAACCUGUGCUUGCAGAACGGUCUUCCAGAACCACCAGAACUUGAUUUGGAGGAGGAUCAUGAUCAGGAAGUGGACGCACCUGACAACAACCUUGGUGGUCAGGCUGUGGGCAAUCAAUUUGUACAAGUACGUUGAUUGAUUGAAUAUGAUGGUUCAUAUGUGAGAGAUAUCCAGGCAUAGGUCACUUACAGCUUGCUGUAUGGCCUGGAUAUCUCCCACAUAUGAACCAUGUCUCAUGUAUAAAAAUUUGUCAUUGUGUUUGUUAUUGUGUGGAUUGAUUGGAUAUGAUGGUUCAUAUGUGAGAGAUAUCCAGGCAUAGGUCACUUACAGCUUGCUGUAUGGCCUGGAUAUCUCCCACAUAUGAACCAUGUCUUAUUUAUAAAUAUUUGUCAUGUUUGUGUGUUUGAGUUUGUGGAUUGAUUGGACAUGUUGGUUCAUAUGUGAGAGAUAUCCAGCAAUAGGUCACUUACAGCUUGCUGUAUGGCAUGAAUAUCUCUCACAUAUGAACCAUGUCUCAUUUGUUAAUAUUUGCCAUUUUUGUGUUUAUGUUCUUUUGUGGAUUAAUUGGACAUGAUAGUUCAAAUGGGAGAGAUAUCCAGGCAUAGGUCACUUACAGCUUGCUGUAUGGCAUGAAUAUCUCUCACAUAUGGACCAUGUAUAUAUAAUAUAAGUGUUAUUCUGUACAUUUUGCUUCUGAAGCCAUAUUAAAUGUGUACAUUGAUUUUAGACGGUGGUUCAUAUGUGAGAGAGAUCCAUUCAUAGGUCACUUACAGCUUGCUGUAUGGCAUGGAUAUCUGUUACAUAUGAACCAUGUCUCAUUUGUAAAUAUUUGCCAUUUUUGUGUUUGUUUUUAGCUUACCUGAGCACAACGUGCUCAUGGUGAGCUUUUGUGAUCGCCUUUUGUCUGUCGUGUGUAGUGCGUCGUCAACAUUUGCCUUGUGAACACUCUAGAGGACACAUUUAUUGUCUGAUCCUCAUGAAAUUUGGUCAGAACAUUUGUCCCAUUGAUACCUCGACUGAGUUCGAAACUGGGUCAUGCUGGGUCAAAAACUAGGUCACUAGGUAAAAAAAAAGAAAUACCUUGUGAACACUGUAGAAGUCACAUUUGAUGCCCAAUCUUCAUGUAACUUUGUCAACAAAUUGAAUCAUGCAUUAUUUUGCAAGUUGGACAUCAUAGUACCUGUUUUUAUACACCCAUUUUGAAAAAGGGGCGUAUUAUAGUUUCACCCUUUAAUUAAAUAGUUUUCAUCCGAUCUUCACCAAACUUGGUCACAAGUUGUAUCUAGACAAUAUCUAGGUCAAGUUUGAAUACGGGUCAUGCCGGGUCAAAAACUAGGUCAUGGGGUCAUCAUCAUCAUUAUCGUCAUCGGGUCAUUAAGUGCAUUUCAAGGAUUUAGCAUGGUGUCCGCUCUCUAAGUAGUUUUCAUCAUAUCUUCACUAAAUUUGGUUAGAAGUUGUAUCUAGACCAUAUCUAGGUCUUGUUUGAAUAUGGGUCAUACCGGGUCAAAAACUAGGUCAUGGGGUCACUUUGUGCAUUUCAAGGAUUUAGCAUGGUGUCUGCUCUCUUAUUUAAGUAUUUUUUAUCCAAUCUUCACUAAAUUUGGUCAAAAGUUGUAUCUAGACCAUAUCUAGGUCAUGUUCGAAUAUGGGUCAUGCCGGGUCAAAAACUAGGUCACAGGGUCACUUAGUGCAUUUCAAGGAUUUAGCAUGGUGUCAACUGAUCUUCACCAAAUUUAGUCAAAAGUUGUGUCUAAAUGUUAUGUAGGUCAAGUGCAAAUAUGGGUCAUGCCGGGUUAGAAACUAGGUCACUACGUUACUUAGUGCAUUGCUUGCAUUUAGCAUGGUUUUCCAAGACCUUCAAACGGGCGUUUCUUGUGACAGUUUGGCACUCUUGUUUAAAAUGAAGCUGUGUUGUUUUUAGUGAAUAAAAAAUAAAUUGUUGUAUGAAAUACAAGAUUUUGACAAAAACAACAACAGCUUUUGUUCUUAUUUACACUGCAAACAAUUAUUCAAACAUAUGAACCGCUGUAUUAUCCCGCAGUCUAGAUAAGAAAUGAGUUGGACAAAAGAAGUGUUACUUCUUACAUGCAAAUGUACAACUAUACAUUGUAUCUCCUAUUUAGGAUGAAUCAUGGGAUCCUAGACAUGAAACUGGUUAUAAAUGAACUGUCAAAUUUCGGGGAGCAUAAAAAUAAUGCAUUGAACAUAAAACAGCUCAAUUCAAGUAAUAUUUAUUAAUCAAGUCGGGUAUAUAAACAUUUUAACACAAGCUCUGAAAGCUUUUUAAGCCGGCUUAUAAACUAAACAUGUACAUAAUAACACAAUAGCACAUACAGUUACAUAAAUUAAUACACAUUUAAAACAUACAGUAAUAUAACUAAAGACACAUUAUUAAAGCACAUUGUUACAUAGCCUAAGACAUAUUAUUAAAGCACAUACAGUAACAUACCUUUUUUCCUGUUGAAAUUAUUUUAUUCAUUCCAUAAUAUAUAUACUUACAAAAUUUACUAAGUAAUGCACAUUCAUAUAUUAAUCUACCAUAUGUAAUGUGUUUUCACAAUAUCAUUAAAUUCAUUACACAAUUUGAAUUAAUAUCAUACAUCCUUCAACCUUUUUUACUUCAUCGACUUGGCUUAAAUAUUCUUUAUGUACAACACAAUAAUAAGUGCGUAUUGAACGAAGAAAGGUUUUGAUUGACCAUAGCAAUUUAUCUAUGGUUACAAGUUCAAACAAGAUAAGCCGAUUAUGUAUCAUUUUACAUAACAAUCAAUUAAAAUUUAUUAUCAAUAUGCACACAACAUAGUCAGAUUUGAUCAAGUAAAAAAAAAAGGAAACAUUUCAUACAUAAUGAGAGUUAAAGACAAAACCCAAUUAUGUAUCAUUUGCUAGUGUUAUUAAAUAACAAAGUUUCAACUUUGGAUUUACAAUCAGAGUGAAGAUUACACAAAUUAUCAAUUCAAAUUUAUGAUCAAUAUGCACACAACAUAGUAAGAUUUGAUUAAGUAAACAAACUUUGCACAUUUCAUAAUUAUGUAAUGAUAGUUAAAGACAAAACCCCACUAUGUUUCAUUUGCUAGUGUUGUUAAAUAACAAAGUUUGGAUUUACAAUCAGAGUGCAGUUUGCAAUUAUUAUUAAAUUACAUUUAUGAUCACUAUGCACACAACAUAGUAAGAUUUGAUCAAGUAGACAAACUUUGCACAUUUCAUAAAUUAUGUAAUGAGAGUUAAGGACAAAACUCAAUUAUGGAUCAUUUGCUUGUGUUGUUAAAUAACAACGUUUGGGUUUACAAUAAGAGUGCAGUUUACAAAUACAAUAAAUUUAAAUUUAUAAUCAAUACGCAAACAACAUAGUAAGAUUUGAUCAAGUAAACAAACUUUGCACAUUUCAUAUAUAAUGAGAAUUAAAGACAGUUAUUUUUGUUAAUCAUGUUAUUACGAAACAUAUUCCUCUUAUAACUGUCCAAUACAGUUACAUAACUUAAGACACAUUAUUAAAGCACGUACAGUUACAUAACUUAAGACACAUUAUUAAAAAUGUUAAACAUGACGAAAUGAACAAUACAUCGCAACACAAUAUUGGAUAACACAACUGAUUAUUUAUUUGACCAAUCGGGUGUUUCGGUUGCAAUAGUUUGAUGGACUCACUACUUGGAUGUGUAGUUACAUUAUUUACAGUAUAUCAAACGGUAUUUAGCAUGAACCAAUGAUUUUUUCAAACAUAAAUAAUUGAUGUAAAAUGCUUGAAGGAAUAAUAUUUAAGGUUUAAGAAGGCAUUUUCUUUUUGUUUUAAAGGAUAUCUUUGAAAAUUAUAUUUUUUAUGAAUUUUUUGGCAACAAGGGGUAACGCAGUUUUAAAAAAUGUAAUUAAUUUUCUGACAAAAAACUGGUACCAUGAGUAGCAUGAAACAAUAAUUUUUUUAAACAUUUGUAAUUGAUGAAAAAUGAUUGCAAAAAUAAUAUCUAGGGUCUAAUAAAGCAUUUUUUAUUUUAUUUUAAUAGGUUACUCAGAAUAUUCUAUUUUUCAUGAUUUUUUUUUGCAACAAGGGGUUAUGAAAUUAAAAAAAUGUUACUGGAUUUUAUGACCAAAACUGGUACUAUGAUAAUACUAUGAUGCACUUCGCCAAAACAUUUAUAAUUAUAUUGUUUAUUCUUGAAAAUGUAUUUCCCCUAUUCACUAAAAAUAACACCUUUGAUCAGAAAAUUCAUAUAUAAUGAUGUUUACUUUUAUUUUCAAGAAUCAUAAUGCCUCUUUUUAGUUGUAUUCAGCCACAAGUUCUUGUCAGCCACUUAAGGGUUAUAUGUUGCCUUUCUUUUACUAAAUGCAAAAUAAUUCUACACUUUGAGACAUUCAUAAAAUAUUAUUUGUCUUUACAACACCGACGGGCUUAUAAAUUUAUAUAUCAAGUACUUCCAUACUAACAGGACCAUUUUAGGCGGGCAACCUAGCAACCUUGAUUUGUUCAUAUCUUCCUAUCAAUCUGUUAUAUGUGUUAUGAAUCAUUUGUUCGGAGAACAUUUAAUGUUUGUUAUAACUUUUAAAUAAUUCAAUGUUCAAAGUGAUAUUGUUAUUGACCGAUAAACCAACAUACUGAUUAAAAGGGAAUAUUUUCUUAAUUAUUAUGCCCCCCUUCGAAGAAGAGGGGGUAUAUUGCUUUGCUCAUGUCGGUCAGUUUGUCGGUCCGUCCACCAGAUGGUUUCCGGAUGAUAACUCAAGAACGCUUAGGCCUAGGAUCAUGAAACUUCAUAGGAACAUUGAUCAUGACUCGCAGAUGACCCCUAUUGAUUUUAAGGUCACUUGGUCAAAGGUCAAGGUCACAGGUGAAGGUCACAGUUACUUGAAAUAGGUAUUGUAAGGAUUUAGCAUGGUUCAAACAAGGGAAACAACUACCGUUUAUGCAUGUUCUUUUUGUUACAGCAUUUGCCUCCCUUGUAAUAUAUUUAAAUUUUACCAAAUGUAAGGCUAACUGCAUUUUUGUAAUGCAUUGUAUCAAUAAACAUCGGGCAAAAAUGAAAUUAAGGUUGCAUUAUCUCUACCUAGUUAUGCCACCAACCACCACCACCACCACCACCAACCAGGGGGUAUAUUGCUUUGCUCAUGUCGGUCAGUCUGUCGGUCCGUCCACCAGAUUGUUUCCGGAUGAUAACUCAAGAACGCUUAGGCCUAGGAUCAUGAAACUUCAUAGGAACAUUGAUCAUGACUCGCAGAUGACCCGUAUUGAUUUUGAGGUCACUUGGUCAAAGGUCAAGGUCACAGUAGAAGGUCACAGUUACUGGAAAUAGGCAUUUUAAGGAUUUAGCAUGGUUCAAACAAGGGAAACAACUACCGUUUAUGCAUGUUCUUUUUGUUACAGCAUUUGCCUCCCUUGUAAUAUAUUUAAAUUUUACCAAAUGUAAGGCUAACUGCAUUUUUGUAAUGCAUUGUAUCAAUAAACAUCGGGCAAAAAUGAAAUUAAGGUUGCAUUAUCUCUACCUAGUUAUGCCCCCAACCACCACCACCACCACCAGUUAGUCAUUAAAUGCUUUAUAUUGAUAAAUGGAAACAUUGGAUCUUAAAAGCUCCAGUUAUAAAUCCAGAAUAAAAUUCUUUAAAAAAAAGAAGUCUGCAGCAGGGCUCGAACCAGUGACCCCCUUUGUCCUGGAGUAAAAACGCACUAGUCUGCUCGACUAUUCUGCGAAGUAUAAAUGGUUGAUGUAUUUUAUACCUAAUAUAAGCAAUCUUUGUAGUUUCACACAAUUAAACAACAACAACAUAACUCUCCAAAUUAUUCAAUCGUUUCGCGUUGCAACGCGUUAUAAUUUUUAAAUCGUUAAAAGAUGCAUAUAAUGGCUAUAUUAGACCAUGGUAAAUGUUCAGUAAUACUGUUUCCUAAAAAUAACAUAACUAAAACGAAAAUUUGCGAAUCCGAUACAACUUUUUUCAAUUUUUGUCCAUUAACCAAAACGUGAAAAGAUCCCUUUAAAGUUAAAUGAACUGUAUCCCAGUAAAAGAGACAUUAAGGCGAUUGUGGCCAGUUUAGAUCCAGUUCAGCCUGCAGUUGCUUGAAAGCUGUUUGCUUAAGAGCGGUUUUCUGACAAUGACAAAUAGUUUAAUUGGAUACUGAUUAGACUGCCCUUUUCCUGUGACCAGGCUACCGGUAAUUAAAUUCAGAAGCAUGGUAACAGUUUAACGUUAAUGUAACCAAUGUGUCAGACCAGGGCCUGGAUUUUGAAAUCUAGGACAUGCAUGGUCAGAAUAUGUCAUUUUAGAUUAUACAUUUUUUCAAACACAUACAAAUGCAUACAAAUUUAAAUAGUAAAAUGCACUAAGUCAGAAGGCAUUUGACUUCGGCUGGUGCCUUGGCACACCAGGGGGCCGUCUCAUUAACGGUUGCAGCGCAGUUGCAGUUGCAAAUUUGCUAAUAAUUGCAACUUGCAACAUUGUGUCCGUUUCAUUAAAAAGUUGCAGUUGCAACGUGCACCUGCUGGUUGCAAAUUUGUAUAGCGCGUUUGCAACUGCCAGUGAGGUGGUGCAGACGGUAGUAAAAUGGCCGAAAUUGAAGCUUAUGUACGCUUACAGCGACGGAAUCGGCGAAAUGUAAGACAAUUCCGUCCUUGCAUUCAAUUCGUGAAUGUUCGAGACAUGGAUUUUGUGUCAAGGUAUCGGGUUGACCGCGCUACGGCCCAAGAAUUGAUUGAAAUAGUUGGGCAGGAUUUAUCCCGCGGGACUCAGGGAGGACACUCCAUACCUCCUGACACACAGGCAAGUUUUUGCUCGGAAAUUUAUGAAUCAAUCUGUUUCCUUUUAUAGUAGUGAAUAACCUGACCCAAAUUUCGUAUGUUGUACAUGUAUGAACAUCCGGUAACAACUACCGUUGUAGAGAUGGCAAUGGUUUUAAUUAUGCCCUCCCCCCCCCCCUUCGAAGAAGAGGGGGUAUAUUGCUUUGCUCAUGUCGGACGGUCUGUCGUUCUGUCGGUCCGUCCACCAGGUGGUUGUCAGACGAUAACUCAAGAACGCUUGGGCCUAGGAUCAUGAAACUUUAUAGGUACAAUGAUCAUGACUCGCAGAUGACCCCUAUUGAUUUUGAGGUCACUAGGUCAAAGGUCAAGGUCACGGUGACCCGAAAUAGUAAAAUGAUUUUCGGAUGAUAACUCAAGAACGCAUAUGCCUAGGAUCAUGAAACUUCAUAGGUAGAUUGAUCAUGACUCGCAGAUGACCCCUAUUGAUUUUGAGGUCACAAGGUCAAAGGUCAAGGUCACGGUGACCCGAAAUAGUAAAAUGAUUUUCGGAUGAUAACUCAAGAACGCUUUUGCCUAUGAUCAUGACACUUCAUAGGAACAUUGAUCGAGACUUGCAGAUGACCCCUAUUGAUUUUCAGGUCACUAGGUCGAAGGUCAAGGUCACAGUGACAAAACGUAUUCACACAAUGGCUGCCAGUACAACGGACAGCCCAUAUGGGGGGCAUGCAUGUUUUACAAACAGCCCUUGUUUGAAUUUGUAUAUGGUGUCAAAAGUCAAAAGUUUUGUACACGGAACUUUCAUUAUGAAUUUAUAUUUUUGGUGAGAUAGUUAUUUGAUAUUCCAAAAAUAUUCCUUUAAUAUUAUGGUGACUGCAAAUUUUCUUUAUAUUAAGUUCUCAUUACCAUUUCAUCAUACUUUCUAUGCUUUCAGAACGUCCAAAAAGCCAUGUCGUUUUUAUUUUGUCUAAGUUAUUUCUAUGAAAUAAUAAGGAUGAUAAAAAGUGCACACAAAACUCGACCCGUGCGCUAUGACACACACUUUAUAAAUUUGAAUGGCGUGUGUUCAUUUCAAUAUUGCGACUGAUUUUGAAAAAUGAAUUGCGUGUUAAAUUAUGCAAUAACGAACAUCUUUAGUGCCUUCAGCGCUUUGAUCUAAACUCGUGCUUUUCCGGGAUAAGUCUAUACGUAUGCAAUUUCCACGCAGAGUUGCCGUUCCUUACGGUGGCAUAGAGGUGACAUUCAUUCCUCUUUUUUCGGCGUAAGCUGUAUUAAGCCAGCUUUUCACCUUAGCCUGACCUUUGUUAGCGUCCAAUAGAAUUCAAAUAAAAAUUCCCGCGGCAAAGUACAGAUGAAUACACUUCAUUGACUGCAUUGGCUGAUUUGAGGAUACGACCAGAACAUUGGAAACAUGUCCGCGUCUUUGUAACACUGUUUUACUGCGUGUUCAGCAUGAAACAAUUUUAUAUCUUAUGAAAAGGCUUAAUAAAUAGAACAGUUUUACACUCAAUCUCGACAUCAAUACAGUUUGUGCGUCCACCUUUUAUUUUCAGAAGAUUUUCAGCGCGAGAACGUUUGCACUUAAAGGCUAUGUUUUCAUAUUUAGUACUAACUUCCAUAUUCCUGUCAACAUGUUAACAUGUUAAAGUAUAGAGAGCAGUGGAAGCGAAGACUCACUUUAAUGCAUUGCAUUUCAACUCGCGAGGUAUAUCGGGUCAAUUUGCGGCCACUGUGAGUGAAUGUCAGAGUUUACGUACAGGUCAUCGCUGCGUCUCUACCCUAUGUGCUGAUCGGAGCUCGCGGCCAGGAAAAUAAUCGAUACAUAACUGGAAUUUUCUUUAGACCAGACAGAUGUUAAAUGAAGAUAUCCAGCGAUAUCAUAUGGUAUGUCUAUAAUAGAUUCUAAAUGUGUUUUACAACAAUACCAUGAUAAAUAUUAUUUUUAAUUAAUUUAACAAGAAUUAUGCCAUCAUAUUGACUAAUGAAUUAAGCAUGAGCGCAAUGAUUCUCGAUACUGUUAAUAAUCGAAUCAAAUAGUAACGCCAGACAAACCACUAAAACAGGUUUGUUCGAAGAACGCGCGUAUAAAUAUUUAAAAUAUGUACGGAUACUUCGCGUGUGGCCGGUUGACUCAUAUGUUUUAAUUUCACUUCCAUUCUUCUUUUGGUUUUCUGUUUUGUAUCUAUGCGUUUAUGACCAGCAAUAUGUAAUAAUGUAAAAUAAGCCGCGAAAACUCCGCGUAUCAUCCCGUACUGCGUUUUCUGCAGCUAAGAACUGCACAGAAAAAGACAUUCGCUAUCUUUGAUCUCAUUCAUUGAAGUCUUUACCUUUCAUUAACUGCAACCACAAUCAACGCCGUAUAUCUUUUUUUAAAGAUAUUUCUUGUUUAAAUUGCACUCCUCUUUUUUCUAUCUCGUG